CUUGUUUAUUUGAAUGUUUUAUACUCAUUAAAAAAAUCUUUCAGAUUUGAUUUUGACAUUUUUCACCCUUGUGAACACAUAAAAAGUAAAAUGUACUAAGAGAAAUUGGUUAAGAUAUAUCCAUGACAAUGAUAACCACAUCUUAAGACCAUCCAGCUCUCAGAAAUGUGAAUAUAUUCAAAAAUAAACAUCUGUGUACCCACCACCUUGUUUAUGAAAUAGAACAAUUGCCAACACUAUUGAAGCUCUUGAGUAAAUUUCCCUGAUGACAUCUCCCUCCUUUACGCCUGACGGUUAUCUGCUUUUUUUCUAAUUUUGCCAAAUAUCUACCCUAAAUAAUUCAUAGUUUGGUAUUGCGAUUAACAGUUUUGUACAUUGAGCUCAAGCGCAUGUGUUCUGUGACUGUUUUGACUUUAACGUAGGUGAGAUUCAUCCAUGCCGAUGUGCAUAGCUGCCCCCGUUGUAUCUCACAGUAUACAUAUUCCAUAAUUUAUCAGUUCCCCGGUUGAUGGACAUUUGGGGCUAUUUCCAACGUUUUGCUCUUACAUUGUGCUACAUUCUUAUAGUUGUCUCCCGGAACAGAUGUGUGAGAGUUUCUCUGGGGUACAUACUUAGAAGUGACAUUGCUAAGUCUAGACCAUAGCCUGACAAACACUGCCAUUCCCCUCCUCCCCGCCAAUGAAUAUCCCGAGGAAACAUGAGUCCUGUUCUUGCUUAAUCUACAGACCAGACUUAGUACUGUAUCUACAUUCAGGGCCUUCAGAGAGAAGAACAGCAAGAAGAGAAGAAGGUUGUGGUGCUCCCCAGCCCACAGGAGAUGACUUUCCUCCAUAACCUUGGGGAACCAAAGGCAGGCAGUGGUUGAUGCAAGAUGAAGCACUUCUCUUGGCUCCAUUGAGCAUGGGGGUGAGGUGGGGCUCCACUUGACUGGAGACUAGGGUCUCAGGCUUUAGCUUGUUUGAUGUCACAGAAUCCACUGUGAGGUCACUCCUGUGCUGUGAAAGAAGAAAACAGCAAUUCAUUCUGAAAAAGUAUGGUUUUAUUUAUUUAAAAUGAGGGGAAGCUAAGCUGAAAUCAGCUUUGUCUCAUGCUCUGGCUCUUCUCCUGAUGGGCUUUAGAAAAAGUCAUUGUCUCCUUGAUCUCAGAUAUGAUGGCAGCAGUGAUCGCCAGCCCUUCCCCACCCUCUGUUGUCUGCAUGAUCAGUUCUCUGCUGCUUUCCUCCACAGCUUUAGACCUGAUGAUGCCCACCUCUGUAUCACCUGAAGGACAGCAGGCUUUGAGGUUCUUUAAUAAAGAACCGAUCCUGCUGGGUCUCUGACUUGCUUUGAACCCAAAUUACUGUCAUUGCAAUAGGGUCAGCUUUGAGCUUUCAGCAAAGAGCCAGUCCUGCUGAGUCUCUUAUUUUCAGAACCUGGGGCCACUGUGUGGUAGUGUGGGCUUUGAGAUUCUUUAGCAAUGAGCCAAAACUGCUGGAUCUCUUACUUGCAGAGCCUGGAACUACUGUGUAUGCAAUAUGGUAGGCUUUAAAAUUUAUUUAAAAAAAGAGAGAGCCAAUUGUGUGGUGCUUUUACUUGAAGCCCUGGAAAAAAGAGGCAGAGCCAUAAGCAAUGACGGCGCUACAAGGACGACGAGCUCUUUUUCCCCAGGAAGUUCUCAGUGAUGGGGCCAACUGAGCCAGUCAUUGCCCUGAUGGGGCCGAAAGCUACACUCUCCUGUCACCUCAGACCCCCGCUGGAUGCCAAUCCAUGGAGUGAGUGGACUCAAGAUCGCCCCUUAGCUAAGACAGCUUUUAUGUCUGAUCAUCAGGGAACACAAUUCAGAAGGAGGACUGAGUUCUUGAAGAACGUCACCAUGGGGAGUGUUCAUCUCGGGCUGCAAGAUACACCCUUCCGGUGAAGGGCAGCACAGAUGUAACUUUGAGGAUUUGUCCAGUCACAGCAAUGUUACUUCCAAGUGUAUGUGGCAGGAUUAUGAAGUUCCCCGCGCGUUCUCUUCAAGAACAGUGAUGCCAGAGUGGACCAUCUGGUGUGUAAGGCUGCAAGGUGGUACCCAGAGCCUGAGGCAAGCUGGUGAGAUGCCUAACACAGAAUUUAAAGCCACACUCUGAAAACAGCAGAACAGAUGGAAACAGUCUGUUCUCCACUUCAUCUUCAGUCCUAGUAACUAGACUAAAAAAGCUGCACUCUGUUCCUCAACCUCCGGCUCAACCAGAAGGAGGAAAUAACUAUUUCUGUUGGCAGGGUAGUUUCUAUAUUACUACAUCGCGUCGCCUUGAGAAGUGUUUUAAAAGCUGUGUUUCUUGUAUAUUGUUGAAUUUCUAAUAGAAAGGAAAAUCAUUUUGAGUCUCUGCACUGUACUUUUUAGGCAACAUUCUAACACCAAAAUGAGUUGUGGUGUUCAAGGCUCCUACUUGGACUAGAGCUGCCAGCAUUUCUUUGCUAGGUGAAGUGUGACGCGAAAUUAAAAAUUCACAAUAUUCUUUCUUGAGCUUAGGUUUCUUAGCAGAAUCUGAUUUUUAGAUAAUGAAUAUAAUAAUUGUCAACAGCAAAUUGACUGGAAGCACAGAGAAGUUGCAGUUUUUCCUUUAUCCUUAAGAGGUUCUUUUAUUCAUAAUAUUUAUGCAAUGACAGAAUGAACAGUUGAAUUACAUUAAAAUCAUUGAAAUGAUGGCUUUGUCUGUAGGACACCAGGGAAGUGAUUUGUAUUAUUUUACUGGUUGCUUUAAAAACUGUGUAGGCGUGUGUGGAGUGAUGAGAUUAGGAUGAACCUACGCCUCUAUGGUAGACAGGGGCUACAAGAGAGGAGAAUUUAAAUGUUAUCAGAAAAAAGACACAGAGAAAUGGUGAGAUGCUUUAAGGUCAGCAUGAACUAGAUACUGGCUCUUUUUCGAAAUGGAACGUGUACUGACAGACAUUGCCACUUACCCGAACUGAUGUCAAUAUUUUCCUUCUUCAACAGAAAUAUUAUGUGGGUAAUUUUGAGUAUUAUUUUAACCGUGGUCUGCAUUCCCGUGAUUGUUUUCUUCAUCACGGUGCAAGGAAAAUCUAAAAGUAAGUGGGUUGGAGCGAUGUGAAGGCUGUCAUUUGAGUUUGUCCAUUGUUGGGACCUGGUGGAGAAAGAUGGUGACCUGGAAGAGUAAGACGGUUGUCUAGAAGAGUUAAAUGAUCUGUACAGAAAAGAGACGGAAAGCUUGGUGAGUAGGAACGCGAAGGAAGGACCAUUGUUUGGUAGCGUUAUUUCAGCUGGGAAUCUUGGUUUCAUCUUGGUACUGAACGGAGUGUGGUUCUCAGUCCUUCUGUUGGGGACAAGAUGUUAUUUGCUCAGCACAAGAGAAGCCCUCAUGGACCCUCAUCCUUCAGCCCCCCUCAGUGAGGCUUCAGCGAGGAAUGAUUUAGGGCUCUUACUCUCGGUUCUACUGCCCGGAGGAACCUGGUUCCCAUAAUGGAGCAGGUGAAAGGUCCAACAGCAAAACGUGGGACCUCACCACGUGCACUGCAGCAAAAGAAGAACAAAUUAUCAAAAUAAGUUUAUUAGAAAGAAGGCAAAGUACGGAAAUAACCCAUUUUAGAAUAAGGGGAUAACUUAAAGAUAAUUUAAUUUAAACUUUCUUAAACAUUCUCCACUGUUUCCCCAGAGGUUAAUUAGGAGAGGUUUGGGAAAUACUAGAUUAAAUAAAGUUAAAAUUUUUUUACUUAAAAUAUUAACAGAGAUGUUAAAUGGUAAUAUGAAUUAUGAAUGUCUAAAAGCAUUUAAUUUCAAGGAAGAAUAUUUCAGAAAGUAUUAAAUUAAAAAUAUAUAAAUGUCCAAAUUUUAUAAAGUAAAUUAUGGUUUGAAAAAAUAAAAUGGAAUGAAUUAGAGGGUUUUAAAAAAUUUCCAUGGAUGGUUUUUGUUUUGUUCUAUGUGUGUUUCUAAUCUUCCCAAUUUCCAUAAUAAGAAUGUAUAAUAGUCUGAAAAAAAAGUUUAGAAAAAAUAGUCUUCUGAUUUUUCUCCAGUCAUCCUUUCCAUGCUCAUCACUUAAUCAGAUGUAAGGUGAGGAUCCCCCUUUAAGGAAAAUGGUGGAUCACUUGCAAGCCAAACAUCAUUUAAUGGAUGUUCUGCUGGGCCACGCUUCUCUACAGACUCUGACCUCCUUGCUGGGUCCCUGCCUUCUCCUUCCUUUGAGGAGACCCACCGGGAAGGAUCACCUGGGAACACUGGGAGGGCAAGGUGUGGAUGGGGAAGGACAGAAGCCCCUCUCCUCAAGACAGACCUGUUUCUCUCCUGUGGUUUGGUCCAGUUGUUUCACAUGACCAGCAGUGGCCAGUACAUUGCCUUUUCCUAUCCUGGACCACUUCCUCUGCAAUUAAAGUCUAUAGCAUGGAAACCAAAGAAUGGUAGCAUGCACGGGGAGCUAGAUUUACAGUCUUUCCACCCAAUGAGUGAAUAAAGCAACAAACAACAGUCCAUCUUCUUGUCACAGAAUCAUAGGAGGAGUCCCAAAAUGGUAGGAAUCCUAACAAUUUCUUAUUCUGGUAAAAUUCCUGGAGCAUAAAAGGCAUUUGAUUAAUGUUGCAUUGCAUUACAUAUUGAACCCAAUCCCUCGUUUUGCAUGUGAGAAAACUGAGGUCAGGAGGCAUUCUGAGGAUAACUUAGUCCUAGUGACAGACUUGAGAUGGCGACCCUGAACAUCCAACUUCCAGUCUUGUACUUCCUGACUCUGCCCUGGUGUCUGUCCCAGGCAGGGACAAUUCUGAGUUAAAAUACCAUGUUGGCAAUAUUUGUAUUCAACAAGUGCCAGUUGGGACUCUCUUCUUUCCUUGAUCUAAGUAAACCUGCCCUCAAAAUGCUGCUGCAUUUUCCUAAUCCCACUUCCUCCUCAAUCCAAUGCACCUGCCGUGGACCCAUACACUUGCAAGGACUGACUUGGUUGUCUAGAGUGGCAACUAGAAAAUAGGUGAAGUCAUACUCAAUAGUCACCCAGGGGGACAUGGCUUAGCAUUGGCACUCAUCACCCACUGAGGGAGGCUUCAUAUAUUUAAUUUGUCCAAUACGGCUAAAUAAUUCAUAUCAAGCAAAACUUAUUACAUAUUUUAGAAUAGUGAUGGAGUAAAUAGCGAUUGUUUCCCUAUCACUCUUAUUUCUAUAGGGAGAAAAAUUUCUGCAAUAAAUGAAAGACUCAAAACUCUUUAAAAGUUGUAAUGUUUGUUCUGGGAUUGAUCCUCUUACCCAAAGCAGAGCUUCUGCAGCAUCUUCCGAAAGUUUGAUUUCUGGGAAGUUUGGGGCAAAUCUCUCUCUGGCUUUGCCCUAGUUCUUUUUCUUCCAUUUUGGAGGACAUGAACAUCUUCCAGGGAGUAAGUUGCCUGACCCCACGGCUGGAUGUGUUUGGAAAGCUCCAAAUGGAUUAGAGCAUUUAUUUUCCCCCACCCUCUCUAAGCUUCUCCUUUUAUCCAACACAUCGUCUCCAAAAUUUUCCAACCUUUUUUUUUUUGCUAUCAGUGAUUUCAGAACCAACACUUGGAAAGUUUCUUCACUUCCAAUAUUUUCUUUACAUUUUUCCUACGGCCUUCAUAUUUUAGAUUAUUCAAAUGCUUUGUUUUCAUAGUCUAUCUCAAGUAAUCUACAAUGAACAUUUUUAAAAAACAUUUUUCCCCUCCCUUCUUGCCUCCCUUCCUUCCUUCCUUCCUCUCACCUGUUCUCAUCCACUGCCAUCCCAGGCAUCACAGCCUGGGUCAAUAUGAAAGAGCCAAUUUCCCCUUUAACCUCAUACUCAGUUGAAUACAUAUCACAUUUAAUUCAUGAUAUUAUUAUCUGUUUCCCAUGAACAGUGUUACCAUUUUGAUGCCUGGAUUCACAAUUUUAUAACUUUUAAGACAUAGUCAAAAUAGAUUUCUCCAUGGAACUUCCUGAGACCACUUACAAGAAUUCAGAGUGUGCUCUACUUUCCUUGCUAACUGUAGUAGCAGAGAUCUAGUAAUUAUUCACACUUGUGUGCCAAGUCUUUUUUUUCUGUCUCUUCCUUCUCUGUGUCUUCUGAAGUUCCAUGGUCUUUGCUAGAAAUGUAAUCAUCACAGUUGACUUUGGUCUGAAAAUUGGUAACUUCAUCUUCUUACUCUUCAUCAAUCUUUGUAAUACGGUUGUUUUUAAUUAAAGUAAAAUUACAGACAUUUCAGUACAAUGAGUUUCUACCAUGUUUUGACAAUCUCAAACAGUAAAUUCUGACAGACCUUUUUUAUUAUAGUCUUUGGCCUCCUGUUAUCACAUUUGCAUAGUCUUUGUCACCCAUAACAGUUUAUAUGUCCAACAUUGGUGGAAAUAUGAUUCAAAUCUCUGGAUGCUUUUUGAUGUUCCCAUUCAAACUCUGUCUGUCUCUUGUUCUUGAAAAAUAUAGAUUCUUUUCAUUUAUUUUAAAAUUUUUUAAUCUUUUUUUUUUUCCUAGAAGUCUGUGAAGGCUACAAGUCUGCUGGAGAAUGGAAUUGAUAUUGACAGUUUUCCUUGUCACUGUAGUAAUAAAUUCCACAGAAAGGGUCAUCAUAUUUUCAGAAUCACAAUGGAAACCACUACUAUGGUCAAAAUUUCAUCACCAUUGAGUCUAGUCUAGCUGCUUCUCUCUCUCUCUCUCUCCUUCCUUUACUGGAUUCUUUUACUGAUCUCCUCCCACUGCCUGUGAGGCCCCCGAUUCCUGCUAUCCACAUCCAUAUGCUUACCUUAGUGGGACCAGCUCUACUUUGGGGCGGUGGGUGAAAACAUGCUGUGGUGACCUUGGUGCUCUCCAGGAAGGCUUCAAGAGAGCUGGCCGUGGGGCAAUAAAUCAUCCCAGUUUGUAUGGGAUUAGCCUGGUUUUAGUAAUGAAAGUCAUGUGUCCCAAGAAACCCCUUUUCAUGAUGCAAAAACUCCCAGUUUUCUGUAAAGGGUGCAGAAGUUUGGAGGAAAACUAUAAAACCAAUACAGCAGCUCAAAAAAUAGGUCUGAAAGCAAUGCACUUUUUAAUAUCAAAACAAAGCAGCAUAAAUCAUCUGCUUCUUUAGUCACUGUCUCUGGCUUUUCCCCGACCAUGGCUGUCAGUAAUCAGGAUUUGCAGCUCACCGUGAUGAAUCACCAUUGUUGCAUCAGUCUGAGUGAUACGUCUUAAGUGAGCAAAUUAAAUGCCUGGUAUUCAUCAGCAUUGCCCACCCAUCUUUGACUUUGCUUGUAGAUUAGCUGUUGUGCAUUGUAUUGAGAUAGCGCUAAGAUUUUUUUGAAAAAAUUCUGGCUGAAAACUUCCCAGAUUUGAUGAAUAGUACAAACUCACAGAUCUAAAAAGCUCAACGAACCCACAGCAUAAGUAUCCUGAAGAAAACUACACAAAGUCGCACCAUAAUCAAACAGCUUAAAUCCAGUGAAAAAGGGAAAAUCUAAAAACCUGAAAGAGAAAAAAGAUGCAUUAUUCUUAUUCUGUAAUAUAAGCAGCAAGACUAAGUUUCUCUUCCCAUUCAGUUCACGGCACGAUUGAGUUGACCUGUGUGCCACGUCUCUACCCUUACAGUGAAAAAAACAUUCAGAUCAUUUCAAGUUUACAUGAUUCCUCUCCUAUGACACUCAUCAAUCUGCCUUGCACUCUCUGUGAUUCAGCAUUUGGGAUUCUCAUGAGCAGGCAAAGAGAAAAAAGAGGAAAGUGAACAAUCCACUCUAAUGCACUGUGAGCUCCUGGAGAAGGUUAGUGCUUUCAUUGCUCUUGAUUCACCACCCACACCUGAGUCCACGGCCUUUCAGAAUUGUAUCGACAUCAAUAGAAAGUAAGAGGAGAAGAAAAAUCUGACAACCCACCCAGACUCCUCUGCGGUGGAGCUAAAGCUGAUGUGUUUCUUUCCCAUGGAAGAAGGAGUGGUGUCCUCUGCUUCCUGGGCUGCUCCAGACUUUUUCCUUCUUUUCCACCCCUAGUGGUUCCACAGCAGGCUACAGACCAGCAGAAGGACGAUGUUAGGGUUGAUUUGUCCUCUCCAGUGGACACGAUGGUGACGGGAAUGCCCUCUCUCGGGAGUUCUGUCAUUUUCCUGUCUUUCCUUCUAGGCUUCAGCACUGGUUUGGAGACCUUCUGGCUUCCUUCCUGUUUAAUAAUGCAGCUUUCAGUCUGCACACUUGAGAUGAGGGGUCCCGCUACUGGAACUUCAGCUGUUUCUGAAACAGGCUUGUCAGUCGUCUCUGCUCCUGCGAGCACCAUACACAUGCUGCCCUCUGGAGAGAGACUGGCAGCUCCUGCUGACGUGAGGGAAUUACUUGCUUACAAACAUGUUAAGUCCUCACCUCAUAGUGGGGACACGCCGGAAGCACCCGCCCUGGGCAUGACGGCUCUGCUUCCUCCUGGAUCCAUGAAGGCUGCUCCUGCCGGUGUUGAGUCGAUCUGUCCUGAGUAUCCACAGCACCUGCUGUGGCUCCUAUUGUUAUCUCUGCCACUCCUGCUGCUGCCCCUUUGUCAGGCACUGUAGGUUUCGUGACUGCAAGAGUGUGUACAGUACAUCUGCGAGGACUGCUGGAUUCGUCCUCACCCCUCUAAGCAUAAUCAGAAGAGAUGACCUUAAAGAUCUCAGGGAUGAUGUGGGGUCUCCUGAUUCUGACCUGAUUUGGGUGCCUUUCUCCACGGAUCUUCAUGAUCUGUGCUGAAAAGGAAAAGAAAGAAAAAGGGGAAAUGAAU
rnacentral:lncRNA from 1 species